UUUUAGGGCACUCCUACCAAAAUCACCAAUUCCGAAAUGAAGAUUUGGUAAUUGGAGAUGUAUCCAGUGAAAGUUGGAUAUUGAAAUUCGAACGAGAAGAUUUUGAGCACUGGAAAGCGAUAACUAUUAGAGGCAAUGGCGGAUGUAACUUACCUAGAAGAAGGCCAUUAUUCUAUCUGUUUUGUCUUUCAAUUGCUGCUAUACCUUGCCAGUUAAGAUCGUUUUCACAGCGUGGUGUCUUAUUUAGGUAGCUCCGAGACUCCUGAAGAUAACCAGCACUAAAUUCAGCAUUUCAAACUCAACCCCCUAAUUUGGUGGUAGUGAUGCUUUCAUUUCUUUUACGGAAGUUGGAUAACAACCAAAGCUUCAAUCAUACUAAUGUGGAACCCAACGUCAAAGUGUUUGAAGUGGAAAUGGAAAAUCAAUAAAAAGUGGAUGUUGGAGGAAGCACAUGUUUCAUGUAAGUUCCCUAAGCUUACAUUUUUUGUACUGAUUUUUCUCUUUUAUUUUUAUAGGUAAAUAAUUGUAAUGAAUGUUGAGAGAAGUUUCAUAUAUACGUGGGAGGGAAAAGUGCUGUUAGGAGCCCCAGCCAGAAGUUUCUGUGUGUAAUACACAUCUCUCCCUCCAUGCCGUGGAAUUCCACAUAUUAUACAUUUGCAAGUUUUUGAGCUACAGCUGCAUACCUAGCCGUAAUAAUUCGCCGUAUCAUUUAAAACCGAAAAUGUUAGUUGACAACCAAUAAUAUUGCAGCAAAUGCAAGUGCGCAAUUAAUCGACACGCUCCUGUCUGAAAAUUCGUUCGAGCCCAAAAGCUUCCAGGUAUUUCGGAAGGCCUAACGCUUCCGGCUAUGUAUCCUUUUUCUCUAGUUGCAGCACCGACAUUGCCUCGAGUUUUUGUAUUUUUUCACGUCUCGUUUGUCAAGAAAAAUCUGUCUUUAC